AUUGAACGCUGGCGGCAGGCCUAACACAUGCAAGUCGAACGAGUGGCGGACGGGUGAGUAAUGUCUGGGAAACUGCCUGAUGGAGGGGGAUAACUACUGGAAAAGGUAGCUAAUACCGCAUACCAUUGGAUGUGCCGCGAUGGGAUUAGCUAGUAGGUGGGGUAACGGCUCACCUAGGCGACGAUCCCUCGCUGGUCUGAGAGGAUGACCGGCCACACUGGGACUGAGACACGGUCCAGACUCCUACGGGAGGCAGCAGUGGGGAAUAUUGCACAAUGGGCGAAAGCCUGAUGCAGCCAUGCCGCGUGUAUGAUGAAGGCCUUCGGGUUGUAAAGUACUGUCAGCGGGGAGGCGGUACCCGCAGAAUAAGCACCGGCUAACUACGUGCCAGCAGCCGCGGUAAUUC
rnacentral:rRNA from 1 species